CCUACGGGAGGCAGCAGUGGGGGAUAUUGCACAAUGGGGGGAACCCUGCUGCAGCGACGCCGCGUGGGUGAAGGAGUGCUUCGGCAUGUAAAGCCCUAUCGGCAGGGAAGAAGCACGCCGGUACCUGACUAAGAAGCCCCGGCUAACUACGUGCCAGCAGCCGCGGUAAUACGUAGGGGGCGAGCGUUAUCCGGAUUCACUGGGUGUAAAGGGAGCGUAGACGGCCAAGCAAGCCAGGGGUGAAAGCCCGGGGCCCAACCCCGGGACUGCCCUUGGAACUGCAUGGCUAGAGUGCGGGAGGGGCAGGCGGAAUUCCUGGUGUAGCGGUGAAAUGCGUAGAUAUCAGGAGGAACACCGGCGGCGAAGGCGGCCUGCUGGACCGCGACUGACGUUGAGGCUCGAAAGCGUGGGGAGCGAACAGGAUUAGAUACCCUAGUAGUC
rnacentral:rRNA from 1 species